CCUACGGGCGGCUGCAGUGGGGAAUUUUGGACAAUGGGCGCAAGCCUGAUCCAGCAAUGCCGCGUGCAGGAUGAAGGCCUUCGGGUUGUAAACUGCUUUUGUACGGAACGAAACGGCUCUCUCUAAUACAGGGGGCUAAUGACGGUACCGUAAGAAUAAGCACCGGCUAACUACGUGCCAGCAGCCGCGGUAAUACGUAGGGUGCAAGCGUUAAUCGGAAUUACUGGGCCGGUAGCGUGCGCAGGCGGUUAAAUCCCCGGGCUCAACCUGGGACCUGCAGUUGUGACUGUAUAGCUAGAGUACGGCAGAGGGGGAUGGAAUUCCGCGUGUAGCAGUGAAAUGCGUAGAUAUGCGGAGGAACACCGAUGGCGAAGGCAAUCCCCUGGGCCUGUACUGACGCUCAUGCACGAAAGCGUGGGGAGCAAACAGGAUUAGAUACCCCAGUAGUC
rnacentral:rRNA from 1 species